rnacentral:rRNA from 1 species
GACGAACGCUGGCGGCGUGGAUUAGGCAUGCAAGUCGAACGGUAUCAUCCUUUCGGGGGUGAGAGAGUGGCGAACUGGUGAGUAACACGUAGGUUAUCUACCCUCAAGACGGGGACAACCCAGGGAAACUUGGGCUAAUACCGGAUGUGAGCAACUUUUAGUUGUUUGAAAGGUGGCGUAAGCUGUCGCUUGGGGAUGAGCCUGCGUCCUAUUAGUUAGUUGGUGAGGUAACGGCUCACCUAGGCAAUGAUAGGUAGGCGGCCUUAACGGGUGGUCGCCCACACUGGGAUUGAGAUACGGCCCAGACUCCUACGGGAGGCAGCAGUCGAGAAUAGUCUACAAUGGUCGGAAGACUGAUAGUGCGACGGCCGCGUGAACGAUGAAUCCCUUCGGGGUGUAAAGUUCUUUUAUAUGUGAGCAGUGCUUCUUAUAUUAACAGUUAUGGGGGAGAGAGAUAUUAGCAUAUGAAUAAGCAACGGCUAACUCCGUGCCAGCAGCCGGGUAAACUCG